UAUUCGAAUAAUUCGAGAUAAUUAUUUGAAUGAGAACGGUGAACUCGGAAGUGAGAUCUGAGUCCGUUAAGACGUUUUUGAAAAUUUUGACUUUUUGACGAUGAAUAGUAAAAUACUGCUAUUUCGUCUUUUUGUUGACUUUCAAAAUUUUACGUGCACGUCGUCGAGAAAUAUUCUUAGUUUUUCGAUACGAGUUCAAUAAUGAAAGUUUUUAUUUUUGGACGACGAGUGAAUAGUGAACCGAAUUUUCUCGAUAAACGAACCGAGCUCGUUUAUCAGAAUUUCGAGAACGAGCUUGCGUUUUCUAUAUUUAUAUAGAAUUACGAGUGCAAUGAAAGUGAGUAGAGGUUGAGAGGGCGAGUAACAAAGAGUAUGGGUAGUUAGUCGUUAAAAACGAGACAAAACGGGAUAUUUAACGACUAAGUGGGAUAAUAUCCUAAAAGAUCUAACCUACCCUACCCAUGACUACCCCACCCAACCGCCCACUAUCCCUCUAUCUCACUUAACUCACGCUGCACACACAGCCCACAUGACUAAGAUCUUAGUGUUUGUCAAUUAAGAUUUUUGACCUCGAGUAGAGUGUCAUCCCAAUGUAUAGACUCUCAAUAUGUAGUUGCCACAAUAAGAUUUUUCUUCUAUCACGAUAAGCAUAAUAUGAUUAGAAUGAGUUCGUUUGUCACUAGUUCUCGAGACUAUAGACAUGGUGUUCUCACGAUUAGAAAGAUGCGAUAACAAUCAAGCUAUGUAGCCACACUGAUAAUGAAAGUCUAGUAUCCCAAACUAGAAUACCAAAUAUGCAAUUCCGAGGACGGAAUUUUUAUAAGGACGGAGGAAUGUAACACCCCUUUUCCUCGUAGCUACAUUUAGAGUAUUUUUGAACUUAGAUUUAAGAAGAUUCACGCCGGAUUGAGAAAAAGAAUUUAUUUUAAUUCCAACAAAUGAUUUGCAAAAUCCUUUUUGUAAAUGUUAGUCAUUUAAAUUCUUAUGCAUUUCAUAUUUAUUUAAAUUGUAUAUUAAACAUUUAGCAUCUACACGAGCUAUUUAUUUAAGCAAACACUGAUCGAUUAUUACAGUUUUCAUAGUACAACCCGAAAGUUUUUUUUUUAUUUUAUUUUAUUACUCCCACCUACUCCCACACCCACCUACUCCCACCUACUCCCACAGCCACCUACUCCUACACAACCAUACUGUUAGUACAAUUAUAGUGAACACCUACCAACUCCAUGUUUCCAUCCCAUCCAAGUUUUGCCCACCUAUAUUCAUCUCCUCACAAUACAACAAACACAUACACAAUAACACAUCUUGACAACUUCCUCAAUGCUCAAUCGAUGCUGCCAUCUAAAAGAUACACCAACUCAAAGCCCUUCCUCAAACUAGUAGAACACUCGGGCAUAACAUCAAGAAAAAGCUCAGCCUUUCCUAUCAAGGCUUUGUGACCAGGGGGAUUAGCGCUGCUUUCCCAAGACAGGUUAUGUGAUUAUGAUCUUCAGGCUUUGCCUAAUCAGGUUGAGCUGAUGUGAUGAUAGUGCUGCAAUGAGCAGAGUCUCCAGGGUUGUUAAUAAAUAGUUAACCUGUCUAGAAUAUGUCUUCAUACAUAUGUCUAGCUACAUUCCGCUGCAAGAUGUUGUUGAUGUUAUAGUAUGUUAUGUCAUACUUUGAGUCUUAAGAGAAUGGUUUCAUAUGAUGUAUAACUUAAUUAAUGAUAUUAAUUAAGUUUUAUGCUGUCUUUCAUAGACUGUUUAAAAGAGUAUUAAUGAGUAAAUACGACGAGUUUUCUUAGGUUGAGUAAGAUUUACGGUUCCAAAUGAUGCCCCUUUCUUCCCCUUAUUCUUUAA